UUCUGGAGUGCGUUCUGCGCCUUCAGA
rnacentral:sRNA from 1 species